rnacentral:rRNA from 1 species
UACAGAGGGUGCAAGCGUUGUUCGGAAUUAUUGGGCGUAAAGCGCGUGUAGGCGGCUUUGCAAGUCGGGUGUGAAAGCCCUCAGCUCAACUGAGGAAGUGCGCCCGAAACUGCAGAGCUUGAGUACCGGAGAGGAUGGUGGAAUUCCCCAAGUAGAGGUGAAAUUCGUAGAUAUGGGGAGGAACACCGGUGGCGAAGGCGACCAUCUGGACGGAUACGUGACGCUGAGACGCGAAAAGCGUGGGUAGCAAACAGGA